rnacentral:rRNA from 1 species
AUUGAACGCUGGCGGCAGGCCUAACACAUGCAAGUCGAGCGAGCGGCGGCCGGGUGAGUAAUGUCUGGGAAACUGCCUGAUGGCGGGGGAUAACUACUGGAAACGGUAGCUAAUACCGCAUACCAUCAGAUGUGCCCAGAUGGGAUUAGCUAGUCGGUGGGGUAAUGGCUCACCUAGGCGACGCUCCCUAGCUGGUCUGAGAGGAUGACCAGCCACACGGGAACUGAGACACGGUCCAGACUCCUACGGGAGGCAGCAGUGGGGAAUAUUGCACAAGGGGCGCAAGCCUGAUGCAGCCAUGCCGCGUGUGUGAAGAAGGCCUUCGGGUUGUAAAGCACUUUCAGCGGGGAGGCGUUACCCGCAGAAGAAGCACCGGCUAACUCCGUGCCAGCAGCCGCGGUAAUAC